rnacentral:lncRNA from 1 species
CAUAAAUAUGCUAUAGCAGGGCUUGGAAAGUGUGGCCCAGGGACAGCAUAUGCCUCCCAAAACCCCAUAGGAAGCCUCUGAAAUCCCUACUCAUAAAAGGAAUUUUUGAAUUUAAAAAUUCUUUCUUACUGUUCCCAUGCCCUGUAUUGAAAGUGGAUGCAGUUUUGCCAUGGUGAUCUCCCCCAAGCUGUUUUAGAUUCAUGGGGCAACUAUUUAUAAAUGCAGGGUCAGGAAAUGCUGUACGAGUACCAAUGCCACCCUCAAAUUAAACCAUAAACUUCCUGUCUUAUCAGCUGUUUUUAUCAACUGUCAGCAGCUGGAUUUCCUUCUCUAAAUGUUUUUCCAGUGGUAACAGUGAUAUGGGUAUGUGCUUUCAGGGGCCUGACUGUCUCUACUGUGAACAUUCAUUACCCUGAGAAUAUUUAUAUUUAACAAGCAACUUUUUAUGUUUUGAACAUGACCUAAUUUCACAGCCUUUUUGUCUGCCUGACUUCAUUUCUUGCUUUUAAAACAUACGUGAUCUGAAGAAUAAAAUGCUUCAUUACAUAGUUUUGAUUGCUUCAUGAUGCUUGGCUGAUUUUGAGGUUUUGACUUAAAAGAGGGAAAAACCCCUCUUCUUCACUUAGUGAUUAAGUGGGAGAGGAAAAGGGAGAAAAAUGAAGAUCAUCAGUCGUUUGUGGGACUUUAAUUAGUUUCUAAUAGACAUGGGCUCGGUUACUGUUUCAUCUAUUUCAUUCGUGCUUUCGUACUGUUUUGUUUAUUCAGAAUACAUGAAAUGGUACACAGUGGUAUGGAGACACCAGUGAAACAAAUGAAAAGUGAGAAAGGUAACUGUCGUCUGAUUUUUGUGCUUACCAGGGCUGCACAAAAAUAUUUGGUUUUUUCCGGACCUUUUCUGAAACGUUAAUUUGUAUAGGCUCCCAUUUUCAGAAGCAGCACCAGAAAACAAAAAUGAGGCUAUAUGACUGGAACAUACAGAAACAGAUAGCAAUUCCAUACAAAUGC